rnacentral:rRNA from 1 species
UACGUAGGGUGCAAGCGUUGUCCGGAAUUAUUGGGCGUAAAGAGCUCGUAGGCGGUUUGUCGCGUCGGCUGUGAAAAUCUGGGGCUCAACCCCGGGCCUGCAGCCGAUACGGGCAAACUAGAAUUCGGUAGGGGAGACUGGAAUUCCUGGUGUAGCGGUGAAAUGCGCAGAUAUCAGGAGGAACACCAGUGGCGAAGGCGGUGGUCUGGGCCGAUACUGACGCUGUAGAGCGAAAGCGUGGGGAGCGAACAGG